rnacentral:lncRNA from 1 species
UUUGCAAAUUCUUGGCGGUAUUCGGUGACUGAACCAACUUGUUGAAUGCUACAGAGAUACUCAUUAGGAUUUUGAAACUCGGCUGGUCCGUAAUUUUCUUGUAAAGCUCGAACAAGAUCAUCCCAGUACAGCAAGAUGCAUUCGCGAUUAACCCAAGCAAAGAAAUCAAGAGCAUCACCUUCAAGAUACAUGGCUGCAACAUCGACUUUGAGUUCCUCCGGUGUUUGAUAGUAUCGAAAAUAUUUUUCGGCUUUCAAUAUCCACCCACGAGGAUUGCCACCGUCGUACUUUGGAAAGUCCAUUUUUGUAUGUGAUCGUCGUGAAGGAGUUCGCAACAGCCCAGGGUUGUCGGCAUCAUCGUCAUCACCCUCCGACCAAUUUGAUCGACCUUUGUCACGCGGUCCCAAUGGAAUAUCAGUGUUCUUCUCUUUGUUUCGAACUCUCGUGCUUGUUUCCCCAAUUGGAGAUCCACUCGAUUGUUCCUUCAAUGCAGCAAGUUCCUUCAGUGCACCAACUUCAGCG